GGCUAAAAAGAAUGAGUGUCAUGCCACGUUAACCAAGGGAACAAAAUUGUAAAUAUGGAGAGGAGAAACAGGUUUCCAAGUUUAUAUUGCUGCUAUCUUCUGGGGAUCAACUUCUGUUGUCACCAUAAUGUGUUAUGUUGAAGGGGCAGCCAGGGCUGUGGAGCGGCUGCUGGAGAGUCCCGUGAGAAUACCCAGGAAGCUCAGUGGCAGCGGAUGUUGGAUCAGCCUCACAAGUGAAAAUAAAUCCACAGCAUGCCAACUCUUGAAGUCCUUGAGAGCAACCAUGAAAUGAAUCAUUUUUAUAUUCUCAAUGACAAGUAUAUGAUUUUAAAGUUUAUAAAAGAAAAGAAUGAAUGAAUUAGAACUUUGAAAGAUCAUCUCUUGGAUGACCUACCGAGGUCCCGAGUCCCACAGAACAUGUCGAAUUAGCCCACUGGAGACAGGCAGGUGUGUGCACGCCCUACUGAGGUCCCAAGUCACACAGAAGAUGACAAAUCACCCCACUGCAGACCAGCAGGUCUGCCCAUGCCCUACUGAGGUCCUGAGUGACACGGAACACGCCGAAUCACCCUGCUGCAGACAGGUAGCCACCUGGUUCCACACUACUAAGAUGCAGAGGACACCAGACCACCAGACCAAGGUACUGAGUCCUGCUGCUCCCGGCCCAGAGGUAGGGGCUUCUGAGCCGUCAUCCCACUGCUCCUGGUCCAGGGGAAGGGGCUUCCUGGUCACCAUCCCUCCCACUGCUCCAAGCCCAAAGGAAAGGGCUUUUGGGCCACCUUCUGACCCACUUCUCCUGGCCCAGAGGAAGGGGCUUCCAGCCCACCAUCCCUCCCACCACUCCGGGCCCAGAGGUAGGGGCUUCUGAGCCACCAUCCCACUGCUCCUGGUCCAGAGGAAGGGGCUUCCCAGGCACCAUCCCUCCCGCUGCUCCCAGCCCACAGGAAAGGGCUUUUGGGUCACCAUCCCUACCGCUGCUCCUGGCCCCUGUCCCACCUCUCACAGCUCAGAGGAG
rnacentral:lncRNA from 1 species